rnacentral:piRNA from 1 species
UGGUUACCUCAGUAUAAUAAUUAGGGAUUC